CCCACCCCCAACCCCCACCACCCCCAACCCCCCCCCCCUCCCACCCAGAGAUAACACUGUCAGCUUCUGACAAAGAAUCGUGCAGAUCGUUAACGUGGACCCCUAUAAACUCAUGUUACAGUCUUCUGUAAUUGUGAUUGUUUAGGAAAGUAAUAGGAACAUAUUUAUUGUCUGUAUAUAUUCUAAAUACAGCCGGAUAGUGACAAUGAUGACAAUAUAUUAAAUAAAAAUAUGAUUAAACAUUAUUUGAUGAUCUGUGAGACAACAGAUUUGAAUCUUUGUGAAUCCUUGCAUUUUUUUCUUUUUGUUUUGACUAUACCAGUUUAAAAUGAUUUGCGGUAAUUUAUUUUCGUCUGAAUUGUGUAUUUAUUUUGUAAAUUGUAUCAAGGUGCUGCUGACCUUCUAUAUUUUUGUACCAUAAUGCACUUUAGAUAUAUAAAUAUAAAAAAAUAUAAACCAGUAUGUUUUGUUAAGUGGCUUUUCUUUUUGUGGUCAAUUUUGAAAUGAAGAAUUAACAACGGUCGAUGUGUGUUAUCGAUUAAGGUUUGCGAUUUCAUUCGUUGGUGUCUUUUGUGUUUUGGUCUAUUGGCUUUGUGUUCUUGUUCCUGUCGCUGCUGUUUAGAGAAACUGUAGGUACCAUUUACCUUCGAUGCGGACCAAGCCCCUCUCACUGAGGUCAAAUGUCGUUUGUUUUUAUUUCCUUGGAAACCCUUGUUUUCGGUCGUGUUUCGUGUGCUUCGACUCGCCAACGUUCACUCUGUACAUAAACUGAACACAUAACUGCUUGAUGUUGUUGUUGUUUGGCCCCUGCACUGAGACAACACUCUAUAUUGAACCAAUUAAAACAUUUUGCCAGUA